UUUUAUUUGAGAGUUUGAUCCUGGCUCAGGAUGAACGCUGGCGGCGUGCCUAACACAUGCAAGUUGAGCGAUUUACUUCGGUAAAGAGCGGCGGACGGGUGAGUAACGCGUGGGUAACCUACCCUGUACACACGGAUAACAUACCGAAAGGUAUGCUAAUACGGGAUAAUAUAUUUGAGAGGCAUCUCUUAAAUAUCAAAGGUGAGCCAGUACAGGAUGGACCCGCGUCUGAUUAGCUAGUUGGUAAGGUAACGGCUUACCAAGGCGACGAUCAGUAGCCGACCUGAGAGGGUGAUCGGCCACAUUGGAACUGAGACACGGUCCAAACUCCUACGGGAGGCAGCAGUGGGGAAUAUUGCACAAUGGGCGAAAGCCUGA
rnacentral:rRNA from 1 species